rnacentral:rRNA from 1 species
UGGCUCAGGACCGAACGCUGGCGGCAGGCCUAACACAUGCAAGUCGAACGGUAACAGGAAGCAGCUUGCUUCUUUGCUGACGAGUGGCGGACGGGUGAGUAAUGUCUGGGAAACUGCCUGAUGGAGGGGGAUAACUACUGGAAACGGUAGCUAAUACCGCAUAACGUCGCAAGACCAAAGAGGGGGACCUUCGGGCCUCUUGCCAUCGGAUGUGCCCAGAUGGGAUUAGCUAGUAGGUGGGGUAACGGCUCACCUAGGCGACGAUCCCUAGCUGGUCUGAGAGGAUGACCAGCCACACUGAACUGAGACACGUCCC